GAGUGGACGUCUUUCUUUAUUUUCGAAAAAUGGCUGCACCAUGACUUCACAUUACAACAUCCAAACAUUGGAAGGGUAAAUUCUUAUUUGUGUCCGUUCAGGGUAGAAGCCAUCCCAUGUGACUCAUGGGGUGUCACAUGUCCAUGCUUAAACCAAUCAUUAGCAAGAGUGAUGGAAUUACAUCAAGUGGUUUAAAGUGAUUCCCUUCUGGGGCUGAGUGUGUGGGAAGGCAAUUCUACAAGAUCGGGGUUCUGCUACUAAGGAAGAGAGGAGGCAGUCAGGCAGUGGGAAAUGGCUAUUGGAUAGAUAAAGCAACUCAGCCUCCUGUGUUGAAGAUUUUAAUUUCCUUAGCUUCAAGAAGAACUAUUUGAGCUGAAUUCUCAAAGUCUUAAACUGGAAUGACAUCUGGAAAUCCGACAAGCAUCUUUUAACCCAGAAGGUUACUAAAGAUUGCUGUGCAGAAAUACAGGAAGUUGGGCUUUUCUGGUGGCACAACGGAUGGAAGUCUGCCUGCUGAUGCAGGGGACAUGGGUUCGAUCCUUGGUCCAGGAGGAUUCCACAAGCCAAGGAGCAACUAUGCCCAUGAGCCUUUGCUCUAGAGCCCUCGAGCCACAACUACAGGACCCAUGUGCUGGAACAUGAAGCUUAUGUGUUGCAGCUACUGAAGCCUGCAUGGCUAGAGCCUGUGCUCCACAGCAAGGGAAACCAUCACGAUGAGAAGCCCAUGCACAGCCACAAAGAGUAGCCCCCACUCACCACAGCUAGAGAAAGCCUGCACCCAGCAAUGAAGACCCAGUGCAACCAAAAAUAAAUAAACAAAUAAAAGAAAGAAAUUUUUUUUUUUUUUCCAAAAAAAGGGAAGAAAUACAGAAAGAGACUUGGUUCCUUGUGACUUCCUGGGGCAUCUAUACCAGUUCAGGCUUCCUCCAUGGGAAUUCUGCAUGACAAAUUAAGUGGUUCAGGUUUCUUAUUGGCAGAAGUAUUAA
ensembl:lncRNA